UGUUCUGUCCUUGGAUGGUCAUUCUUGUUGAGUGAUAACCAGGGCAGCUCUAUUGUAUAAACAGAUUGAUCUGGUGAUAAGAGAUGAUGGGGGUAGGUUAUAUGAUCGAGGAAAGGCGAAUCUGAGCCCAUUGUGCAAUAAAACAGCAGCUACCUCCCCUACUGUGUGUAAUAUUGAAGGCAAAAAAGAACUUUUCAUGUCUUGCUAUUUUAGAAGUCCAAAAGGUUCAUUCUUCCUUUGCUGGUUACUUAACCAUGACUUUUUUUUGCUUUGGUUCUGGUUGAGAUACUAAAGGUUGUUUAUAUAUAAAAAAUAGACACUUAUAGUUGCUAUUUUAGAAGGCCAUUGUUUCUUGAUCUUAAGGUGACCCCAUUUUUUCUACGCCUCAUGCUCAUGCUGCUCUAUGUUCCCUUUUAAAAAUCCUGGCCGGCAUUCCUCGCCUCCACCUCCUGUGGCCCUGACCCAAGGUUUGAUUGGCGAGCUCGCAACCGUUGGCCUUGGACGAGGAGAUCCGACACACACACAAGAAGGAGCUCCGCCUCUGCUGCCUCUACACGACCGGCGAGGGGAAAAGGGGUCCGUGCCCGAGGCGAUUCUGCCUGACGCCAUGGUUGUUCUUCCAGUGAAACUGCUCCGGUGAAGCUGUGUCGCCGCCAGCAUGGCCACCACAACCACUACCGCUCAAGGUCAGCCACUCCCUGCAUGAGGUAUCCCUCUUGAGUCAUUUGGAGCAUGACAAUAUUGCUCAGUAUUAUGGAACAGACAAGGAAGAUGGCAAAUUGUAUAUUUUUCUUGAACUUGUGACCCAAGGAUCUUUGGCAGCUUUAUAUCAAAAAUAUUGUUUACAAGAUUCACAAGUAUCAGCAUAUACAAGGCAGAUUUUGAAUGGUUUGAACUAUCUACAUCAGCGAAAUGUGCUGCACAGGUGAGUAAUAGAAUGCGUUGUUUGGUAUAUAUUUUUCUGAAUUAUAUUUCUCGCUGGCCAUUGAGAGCCUGUUCGUUGCUGGAUCACCAGGGACAUCAAAUGUGCAAAUAUGGGAUGUGCAAGUUAGUCUUUUUUUAUUGCCUUCUUUGUUGCUUUGUGUGCAAAUAUGUUAUCUUCUGCAUUUUGUUCAUGGUUUCGAUCUGAAGAACCAAGUGGCACCUGGCUUUUCAUCGAUCUCUCCGUCAUUUUUCGUUACCUUGAACCAUGCAUGAUAUUGCAUCUGGGCACUUAAAUUUCGGUUUUAGUUUUGUAGGCUUUGCAUAUCCGAGAUGAAAAUCAUCUUGCUCUAUCAUUAGGUCGGCUCAAUCUCAGCAACAAAUCUCUUUUCUUCUCUAUUUUGGGGCUGUUUGGAUUUGAUCCCAGAUCUGCCGUGCCAAAAAAAAAUUCGUUAACUGAGUGGUCGCUAUGCGUUUGGAUGGACGCCGAUUCUUUGGUGUGCCCAGAGUAGCUCCACAUCUCGGUUCAGUUCCACACCAAUUAUAUGGCGAGAAGCGGGCGACCGAUUGCCUCGGAAAUUUUUUGGUGCGUCCGUGAUUGGCAGGGUUGGCUCGGGCGGCAGCCAAAGAAGCCAUGUAUAUUUAUAUUCAGCCAUAUGUUUCUAUCUUCCUGGUAAUGCAUUUUUUGUUUCUAAAUUGAUAUUUCAAAAAAGUGCAUUGAUCCUUGAUUGUUAGAAAAAUUUACUACAAGUCCAGUUUCACUGCAAGUCCAGUUUCUUUUGUGUUGCAGAAAAGGUUGACUACUAAAUACUGAUGCAUACUAGAUACACAACUUAUUUGAUUCCCAUUGCCAUAUAUCAAACGAGCUAAACUAAAGAUUACUAUUGAUGCAUAAUUUUGAUAUAACCAUGAUGGCUCUUGUGUAGUUGUUUGGUUUGGUAUUUGAUUGUAGCCUCUGGUUUGGUAUUUUCAGCCGCACGUUUCGGUGGAAGAAAAUAACAAAGAAGUGUCAAAGUAGAAUGCACAUCGCUGUGCCAUAAUAGACUAUAUAGUAUGAGAAGAUUUGAUUGGAUGGUCCUUUUUCCUGUAGAUGCUUCAUAUACAAAUAAUAUUAUACAUUUACAUUGAACUUUGUUUUGUGUAAGUAUGAAUAACUAGAUCAUUAAACUAUGCUACACUGUUGGACAACAAACAAGCUGGGAAACAGUCUGUGUGCAAAGCUCGCAAAGAUCUGUUUGGAAAACGCAAGCGCAACCGCGAAGAGUAAAGAGUUGAAUCACCAGGUGCGACACAAUGGCCGUCUACUAUAUCUCCCAAGAUGCCGUUAGUUGUGUCCUUUUUGUAAUCAUGAUAUGUACCAAGCACUUGUUCUUCUAUGCGUAUGACUGUAUGGACUAUUAUGUUGGUUAUGUAAACUGCAUGACACUUGUGCUUUCCACGUCUUGCUUGCUUUGUAGAAGAAAAAAAACCUUUGUAUGAUUCUGAUAGUCGUUGUUCUUUAUAUGUCUGAUCCAUCUCCCGACAUGUGAAAACUGAUUUGUAUUCUCCUUGGCACUUGUA